AGAGUUUGAUCCUGGCUCAGAUUGAACGCUGGCGGAAUGCUUUACACAUGCAAGUCGAACGGCAGCACGGGGCAACCUGGUGGCGAGUGGCGAACGGGUGAGUAAUACAUCGGAACGUGCCCAAUCGUGGGGGAUAACGUAGCGAAAGUUACGCUAAUACCGCAUACGAUCUACGGAUGAAAGCGGGGGAUCGCAAGACCUCGCGCGAAUGGAGCGGCCGAUGUCAGAUUAGGUAGUUGGUGGGGUAAAGGCUCACCAAGCCAACGAUCUGUAGCUGGUCUGAGAGGACGACCAGCCACACUGGAACUGAGACACGGUCCAGACUCCUACGGGAGGCAGCAGUGGGGAAUUUUGGACAAUGGGCGCAAGCCUGAUCCAGCCAUUCCGCGUGCAGGAUGAAGGCCUUCGGGUUGUAAACUGCUUUUGUACGGAACGAAACGGCGAGCUCUAAUACAGUUUGCUAAUGACGGUACCGUAAGAAUAAGCACCGGCUAACUACGUGCCAGCAGCCGCGGUAAUACGUAGGGUGCAAGCGUUAAUCGGAAUUACUGGGCGUAAAGCGUGCGCAGGCGGUUAUAUAAGACAGAUGUGAAAUCCCCGGGCUCAACCUGGGAACUGCAUUUGUGACUGUAUGGCUAGAGUACGGCAGAGGGGGAUGGAAUUCCGCGUGUAGCAGUGAAAUGCGUAGAUAUGCGGAGGAACACCGAUGGCGAAGGCAAUCCCCUGGGCCUGUACUGACGCUCAUGCACGAAAGCGUGGGGAGCAAACAGGAUUAGAUACCCUGGUAGUCCACGCCCUAAACGAUGUCAACUGGUUGUUGGGUCUUCACUGACUCAGUAACGAAGCUAACGCGUGAAGUUGACCGCCUGGGGAGUACGGCCGCAAGGUUGAAACUCAAAUGAAUUGACGG
rnacentral:rRNA from 1 species